AUUGAACGCUGGCGGCAGGCCUAACACAUGCAAGUCGAGCGGAGCGGCGGACGGGUGAGGAAUGCCUAGGAAUCUGCCUGGUAGUGGGGGAUAACGUUCGGAACCGGGCGCUAAUACCGCAUCCUAACAGCUGAGAAUAGGUCGGAUUAGCUAGUUGGUGGGGUAAAGGCAUACCAAGGCGACGACCCGUAACUGGUCCGAGCGGCUGAGCAGUCACACUGGAACUGAGCCACGGUCCAGACUCCUACGGGAUGCAGCAGUGGGGAAUAUUGGACAAUGGGGGGAAGCCUGAUACAGCCAUGCCGCGUGUGUGAAGAAGGUCUUCGGAUUGUAAAGCUCUUUAGGUUGGGAGGCGUUACCAACAGAAUAAGCACCGGCUAACUUCGUGCCAGCAGCCGCGGUAAUUC
rnacentral:rRNA from 1 species